UGUUAAAUGUUUCCGUUAAUUUACACCCAAAUUUCAACAUGAUUUACCUGUUAUUUGUAAUAACUGCAGCUUACUGUAAAUUUUUAGGGAAUACAUGUUAAAUAACGCCUCAUGUAUGUUAUUUAACACCUCAUUGCUAAAUAACAUUCAUUUUUGUUAUUUAACAGCACAACCGAACAUUCAAAGAUGGCGGCCAGAGUUAGAUGGUCUGGUAUGGUCAUGUUUUGGGGAUAAGUGCCGAUAAACGCAAUUUUAUGCUUAGAUUAUAAAAAAUAUAUUAUUUAUCAUUGGAGAAGUUAGCAAUUUUUCGUUUUUGUAAGUUGCAAAACAAUGACUAAUUCAAUAUUGUCGAUGUUGCAUACUAAGAAAUUAAAUAUUGUAUGCAUUCACUGAAUGAAGGUUAGACAGAACACCACGUGAUUUCUGUACUGCAAAUGUUAUAAAGAAUCAUCUUGCUUUUAUUACCAUAAUCAUACCUCCCGAUUUUAAACGAGACACCUAACAUUUAAUUGACUAACUGCGCUCCAAAUCUGUGUGUGUAUAUGUGUGUGUAGAUGUGUGUGUGCGUGUGUGUGUGUGUGUGUGUGUGUGUCUUUCUGAUCACGUUCGCGCCACUUUCUGAAAUAACAGGUUCAUACAGUAUUUUUUGCAUUCUGGCAAAGAGCGAGUAAGAAGGCAUUUGAACCUGCAACGCAACGGACACACGGCCAUUCCAUGUCGGAGGAUCGCUCUGGUUACAUCGAGGAAAACCACAACAAUCCGAUGCAGAUGCAGGGCACUAUCCCUGAUCACACUGCUGAUCAAGAAGAUCUCACUGCAUGUAUCCCUCAGAACCAGGUGGAAAUUUGAAUGGUGUCUUAUAAUCUAUCAAUAAGUCUUGUGUUGUUCAAGACUAAACCGACAAAUGAAAGGAUGAAGGAAGUUCUUCGUCAGCUUGAUGAUGAUGUCGAGCUGUCCUAUCAAGUCAUCCAUCUUCUUCUGUCUCACUUUUCCGAAGAUGUCUCAGGACUUGAUAUGCCAGUGCAGCUGACCUUGAGAGUUCACUAGCUUUACCUGCAACGCCUCGUCUGAUACUUCUUGGAGAAACAGGAAACCACUUCCAAAGCUGGAUGCUCAGCAUUGAGGGCCAGAUUGUGGGCGAAGGGAUCCAGUCCACCUUUGUGACAGGGCUGGCGUCUUUUUUCUCCGGUUUUUAUAUCUUCAACCUACAGUACCAAGAGGAGGCAGCGUGCACACUUGAAUUCAUCCAGAGGUAAGACAUUGUCUGUUAACACCUGCAUUUGUUCUGGCCUAGCUGUGGCUCAAGCAUGGUUUCAGCAGGUCUGGUGAUGGGAUUUAGCAAUUAACUUUGCUUUAGAAAGUUUUAGUGCAACUUACAAUAUUCAUAGAUGCAUAGGAUAGUAUGUUGAGGAUAGUUCAUGGACAUUUGUUGUCUUGUUGUAGUGUUAGUCUGUGUGAAUUACUAGAUUUCCAACCCGUGUAUAAUUUUUCAGACGCUUUGUGGGUAUAAACCCAGAAAAGGGGACAAAGGCUGCAAAGGGGAAAAAAAGAACGGUAAAUUCACACAUCGCCAGCCUCUUGCGCAGACUGAUGGACUUCCAGUGGGAUUUCAUUUCAAAAAGUGGAGGUGUGUUCAGGUGCGUUCUGGGCAAUGUAGUGUAUUUUUCUGUGAUUGAUCCGAUCUAUAUGUGCCUACAUUUGUAAGUAUUUAACUUUCAGUGUUUCUAUUACAAUAAAAAAGUUAAUUUGAACAUGGAACUAUUCGUUUUCUUUCACUUAAGUGUUAUGUGAUGUAUUAUGCCUAUUCUUAUAAUAACUCAAGCUAGAAAUAUGUAUAUUACAAUCAAUGGUACACAUUACUAUGCUAAAAUAAUAAUCAAUACAUUUUAAAAGCAAUAUUUAAAGGAAACUAAAUAAAUGGUGAUUUAACAUGAAAAUAAUGGUAACCCUGCUGCCAGUAAAGUCCUGUUAAAAAACAUUACGGGUGUGCACUGUAAAAAAACAUUAACAGGAAUAAACCGUUAAAAUAACAUGAAAAUAAUGGUAACCCUGCUGCCAGUAAA